rnacentral:rRNA from 1 species
GUGCCAGCCGCCGCGGUAAUACCGGCAGCCCGAGUGAUGGCCGAUAUUAUUGGGCCUAAAGCGUCCGUAGCUGGCCGCACGAGUCCGUCGGGAAAUCCGCCCGCUCAACGGGCGGCCGUCCGGCGGAACCUGUGUGGCUUGGGACCGGGAGGCCUGAGGGGUACGAUCGGGGUAGGAGUGAAAUCCUGUAAUCCCGCACGGACCACCGAUGGCGAAAGCACCUCGAGAAGACGGCUCCGACAGUGAGGGACGAAAGCUAGGGUCUCAAACCGGAUUAGAUACCCGAGUAGUCC